GACGAACGCUGGCGGUGUGCUUAACACAUGCAAGUCGAACGGAAAGGCCCUGCUUUUGUGGUGUGCUCGAGUGGCGAACGGGUGAGUAACACGAGAGUAACCUGCCCUUCACUUUGGUAUAACUUCAGGAAACUGGGGCUAAUACCGUAUAGGAUCUCCUGCUGCAUUGAGGGGGUUGGAAAGUUUCGGCUGUUGGGGAUGGACUCGCGGCUUAUCGGCUUGUUGGUGGGGUAGUGGCUUACCAAGGCCUUGACGGGUAGCCGGCCUGAGAGGGUGAACGGCGACAUUGGGACUGAGAUACGGACCAGAGUCGAACGGGAGGCAGCAGUGGGGAAUAUUGCACAAUGGGCGGAAGCGUGAUGAAGCAACGCCGCGUGCGGGAUGACGGCCUUUGGGUAGUAAAAAGCAUUAGCCUGUGACGAAGCGUGAGUGACGGUAAUGAGUAAAGAAGCACCGGCUAACUACGUG
rnacentral:rRNA from 1 species